UAACAGCUGAUCUCUUGGCAGAAACUCUACAAGUCUUUUCAAUUCAUCAUGCUGCCCACAAUAUGCUAUAGAAGAUUAGCAGUUAAAGUUGGACAGGAAGCCAAUGAAGAAGGAAGCAAAUAUAGAGGAGGAAAGGGGAUAAAAGGAAGAAUAAUCUCAGAAAAGGAAGAUAGAGAUGCUGGAGAGAAGACACCUCUGUAUUUGUAGGCUCUCCCCACAUCUUGUGAGUCACUAAAGAAAAACCAGUUGUUCCAAUUGUUUUAACAAAACCAGGAACUGAGAUUCUAAAUUUACAUACUCUCAUACCAUUUUAUGUUUAUGAGAAAUACAAAUCUAGAAUGUGGAAGUUAAGAACUGCCUGUUUAAUAAAAUCAUCUUGAAACAGAAAGAAGGCAGGAAGGGAAAAAAGAAAGAAAGAAGGAGACAGAAAAAGAGAAAGAAAACAAGGAAAGAAACUAGGAAAAGAGGAAGGCAGGAACAAAAGAAGGAAUGGAAGGAGAGAGUGAGGAAGGGAGGGGGAGAGGAAAAGAAGGAAAGAAGAAAGAAAAGUGUUAAAAAAAAGACCAAAGGAAGAAGAGAGAUGAUCUAAAAAGAAGAAAACAUUACUCUAGAGCUUCUCAAACUGGCAUCUUAUGGACCCCUAAGAAUUUGUGCAUUUUAUAUAGGGAUCCAUAAAUUUCCUAAAAUUGUAUCCAAAUUGUUCCAUUUAAUUAAUCUAUCUAUCUAAAUAUCUAUUGCUAUGGUUUGAAUGUAUCCCCCAACAGUUCAUGUGUUGGAAACUUAAUCACUAUUGUAACAAUAUUAACAGGUGGGUCUUUUAAGAGAUGAUAGGGUCACCAGGGUGGAGCUCUUGUGAAUGGAUUAAUAUCAUCAUCUAGGGUGUGAGUUCUCUUGGGAGUGAAUCAGUUUUCACGGGACUGAGUGAGUUUUCUUGAGAGUGGGUUGUAGUAAAAGCAAGCUGGCUGCCUCUGUGAUUUCCUUUGCUUGUGCUCAGCAGUUCUUCUGCUCUUCUGUCAUAAGAAAACAUAAAGAAGACCCUCACUAGAUACCUGAGUCAUGUUCUUGAACUCCCCAGCCUCCAGAACUGUAAUAAAUAAAUUUUUCUUUAUAAACUACCCAGUCUAUGAUAUUUUGUUAUAGCAACAGAAAAUAAACAAAGGCAUCUAUCAUUGUAUUACUAGAUAUAAUAUACAUAAAUUUUAUACAAACCGUAC
rnacentral:lncRNA from 10 species